AUCGAGAGAUAAUAUAUAAACUAAUAAGAAGAAUUAAAUAACGUACCUUUUGUAUAAUCGAAACUCUAAUUCACUUUUUAUUUAACUUCCCGACUAAUUAAGAGCUAUUUUAUUUAUUCAUUAAUGUUACAUAAUUAAUUAUAAAUCUAAAAUAGAUGUGAAAUGCUAUCCGCUUAAUUUGAUAACUGGUUAAAGAGUAAUAAUUCAAUUAUAAAAUAAAAGAAAUGUUUCAGCUUUUCUUUCUUUCUCGGAUAAUUAUAAACAACAAUAAACAGGGCUAGAAAUACCCCAUUAUAACUAACUUUCAUUAUUACUUGUAAUCCUUUCACAAGAUAAACUAUAUUUCCAUAUAAUACACUCUUUCCAUAAAUUUAACCUUCAAUUAUUAAGAUAAUAAGUUUAUUAGUACUUAAAUAUUUUAUUUUUUCUAACUCGGCAAUCUAUUUGUUCAACUGUUUAUCAAAAACAUUUCUUUAUGUUUUUAUAUAAAGUACGACCUGCUCAAUGAUAUAAAUUAAAUAGCCGCAGUAUACUGACUGUGCAAAGGUAGCAUAAUCGUUUGCCUUAUAAUUGAARRGCUAGAAUGAAUGGUCACAUGUAACAAUUUCUUUUAUAAAAUAAAUAAAAUUAAAUUUAUCUGCUAGUGAAAAAGCUAGCAUUAUCGUGUUAGACAAGAAGACCCUAGGAGUUUUCAUUAUACUAUAUUGUAAAUUUUUUAGUUGGGGCAACAAAGUAUAAAUUCAUACUAUUUUUUAAUUUAAAACUUUUAUAUAAAUUUAAUAAAUUACCCUAGGGAUAACAGAAUAAUUUUAAUUUAGAGACCAAAUCAAAAUUAAAGCUUAUUACCUCGAUGUUGGAUUAAGGUGCUGGUGGAAGCAACCGUUCACCCUUGCUUGUCUGUUCGACAAUAAAACCCUUACAUGAUCUGAGUUCAGACCGGCGUGAGCCAGGUUAGUUUCUAUCUUCACUUAAAAUUAAAUUUAUUCAGUACGAAAGGACCAAUAAAUAUUAUUAAUAU
rnacentral:rRNA from 1 species